UAAAUAUAAAUGUUAAACCAAUAAUUGGAAAUAAUAAUAAUAAUGUUAAGGAUGGGAAUAAGACUCUGUUCAAUUUUUUUUUUCACUAUAAAACAUCUCUC
rnacentral:sRNA from 13 species